rnacentral:rRNA from 1 species
CUAGUUGGUAAGGUAGUGGCUUACCAAGGUUUUGACGGGUAACGGGGAAUCAGGGUUCGAUUCCGGAGAGGGAGCCUGAGAAACGGCUACCACAUCCAAGGAAGGCAGCAGGCGCGCAAAUUACCCAAUCCAGACAUUGGGAGGUAGUGACGAGAAAUACCGGAGUGGAUCUAUUGAUGCACUACCGGAAUGAACGUAAUCUAAUAAUUUCGAUGAGUAUCUACUGGAGGGCAAGUCUGGUGCCAGCAGCCGCGGUAAUUCCAGCUCCAGUAGUGUAUAUCAAAAUUGUUGCGGUUAAAACGCUCGUAGUUAAUUCCAGCUCCAGUAAUGUAUAUCAAAAUUGUUGCGGUUAAAACGCUCGUAGUUGGAUUACGGGGGCCUCAAUUGCUAUACUUUAACGGUCUAGCAAAGUAGGCCUUCUUUACCGCAAGAUUUGUGUGCGGACUUUAUUGGCUGCUCACAAAAACUUGCGGAGCGUGCCUUGAAUAAAGCAUAGUGCUCAAAGCAGGCGUACGCUCGAGUGUAAUAGCAUGGAACGAAUAGAUGAACCUUGGUUUAGUUUGUUGGUUAAACGGGGCUUGUAGUAACAUUAAGCAUUUAUCAGUGCAUGUCUCUUGAGGUGUGUGCUUUUAAGUGUGUUGCUGCGAGUUCUAUCUAAACUGGGUUUUGAUUAAAAGGGACACUUGAGGGCAUUAGUACUUUGUGGCGAGAGGUGAAAUUCUUUGACCCACAAGAGACUGACUAUUGCGAAAGCAUUUGCCAAGAAUGUCUUCAUUAAUCAAGAACGAAGGUCGGAGGUUCGAAGACGAUCAGAUACCGUCCUAGUUUUGACAGCAAACAAUGCUACCAACGGGAUCAGUCCGGAAAGAUCCAGGUCGGUCCCCCCGGGAAACCUAAAGUGUUCUAGUUCCGGGGGGAGUAUGGUCGCAAGGCUGAAACUUAAAGGAAUUGACGGAAGGGCACCACCAGGAGUGGAGCCUGCGGCUUAAUUUGACUCAACACGGGACAACUCACCAGGUCCAGACAUUGAAAGGAUUGACAGACUGAGAGAUCUUUCAUGAUACAGUGAAUGGUGGUGCAUGGCCGUUCUUAGUUGGUGGGAGUGAUCUGUCAGGUCUAUUCCGGUAACGAGCGAGACCACGAUCUCUAUUUGAUUGUGAUGCAGUCCUUGUCUCGCACAAGUUUACGUUUGCGGUUUUUAUCAUAUAGAGACUACUCGGAAGUUAAAGCCGGGGGAAGCGUGGCAAUAACAGGUCUGUGAUGCCCUUCGAUGUCCUGGGCUGCACGCGUGCUACAAUGGCAGUAACAAAGAGUAUACCUGCGCUGAGAAGCGUAGGAAAUCUUGUAAAUUGCUGUCGUAAUUGGGAUUGAGCCUUGUAAUUAUUGCUCAUGAAAGAGGAAUUCCUCGUAAGCGUGAGUCACCAACUCAUGUUGAAUACGUCUCUGCCUCUUGUAC